ACACCAUUCGCACCGGCUGGAUUUUUCGCCGGGGCGGCCCUCUACUGUAGCUUGUAGGAAACGAGAACACCGCUCUCGGGGACUACAAGUGGAACAAAACAAACACACCACAGCUGGCGCUCGAUGACCGUUACUACGUGCGGGCUGUUAUGGUUGCUGUUGUAGUUGCUGUCAUAGCCUAGCAUGUUUAGUUAGUGACAUACUGUGAUAACACUUAAGUUAUACAUCAAUGAAACCAUUACACUCAGAUGAGGAGGAAGAGGAGCAGCUGGGUGCUUACCAAAAAGAGCUGAGGCAACGAGCAAACCAGAGCAUACAGCAGCUGAGCAGUACUCUGGAGCAGCUGAGCCCUGAUGGAGAGGAGGUGGAGGAGGUCAGAGGAAGUGAUGGCAGCCUCCUCGCCGGCACGGCCGAAGAGGCUGCGUGGAGCCAAAAGACACAGAGCGAAGCAGUUAAUCAGCUUAAGAGCCUUCUACAGAAACAAUGCAAAGAAAUCCCAUCUGCUCUCUCUCCUUCAAAGAAAUCUUCUCCAUCCAUGAGAGUACAGCAGGAGGGAAGGUCCAAUUUGCCUGCUGUUCAGGAUUUGGUCCCAAUAAUUCACAACCAGUCAGAAUACAUCCAGCACCUAGAAGCUGAGGUCAAAUUCUGCAAGGAAGAGCUGCAGGGGUUGAAACAGCGGAUCAGAGUGGUGGUGGUGGAGAAUGAAAAGUUGCAGUCGGACCUUAAAUCCAAAGCUGCGGAUGAAUCUCUUAAAGAGUACACAUUGCGAAACUCCUUGAUGAAUGAGAGUAUGGCAGCCAACAGCCACAUAGGCUCAGCCCACAGUGGGCUGCAGAAAGCAGAACAGACAACAUGGAAAAAUGAGAUGGAGCAAUUGAAAGUGAUCUACCAGGCCCAGAUUGAAAGCUUUGAGGCUCAGGUCAACUCCCUCAGGAAGGAUCUGGCAGUCAGUCAGAAGGAGUGUGAGGAGGUGAAGGUUCUUCUAAGACACAAGGAGAAACAGGCUGCAGAUGCAUUGAGGGCUGGUGGAGCUCCCCGUGUGGCUGGAUUGUGUCUGAAGUGUGCACAGCAUGAGGCUGUAUUGGCCGGGACUCACACAAAUCUGCAUGUCCAGGCUAUUGACAGGCUCACAAAGGAGCGUGAUGAAUUGCUGGUGGCUCUUCGUGCCGCGCGGGUUAGUCAGCAGGAGGCACAACAACGGGAGUGGUCAGCCUGUCUCCAGGUCAAACAGGCUGUGGAGAUGGCAGAAGAAGCAAACCUGUACAAAGCUAGGGUGGAGGUACAAUGUGAGCAAUUGUCCAGGGAGCUAGCUCGACACAGGGAGCAGCUAGAACGAGAAGCACAGGCCUUAAAACAGAGACUGGCUGAGGCCAGAGAGGAGGGCAGGACUGAGGCCCGCAAACAUAAAGAGGAGCUGGCACAUACAGUGUCCAUCCUUUCCCAGCAAGUUGCAGAAUUGGAAGGGCAGCUAGACAGAGCUCACAGAGACAAGAGCUCACUGACCAAUCAGCUGGAAGAUUUUCUUCAAAAAUUUACCAGCCAGGAACAAGACAAUACCAAGGUGUGUGUUGAUCUGCGAUAUCAGCUCAGCCAGGCCCAACUGAAGAGAGAGGAGGCAGAGAGAGAGCUCCGAGAGCUCAACACCAAGACCAGCAGACAGAUGGAAAAGGCUGCACAGGAAGUGGAAAGGCUGAGCUCAGAGCUGGUUGGCUGUCGGCAGCAUCUGGAGGCGGUCCAAAAGGAUGGGGGCCAAUGGCAGGCCGAAGCCCUGAGCCUAGCAGAACAGCUGGCAAAUGCCCAGCGCCAACUGCACCUCACCAGACAGGACAGAGAGACUGCAGAACGAGCUCAUGAGGAUGAAAUGGCUUCUGUGACCGGCUCAGCGCGAGAAAGGGAGAGAGAGCUGGCUGUGCUGCUGGAGCAAACAGAGGCACAACACCAGCAGAGAGUUGCAGAGCUGGAUGGUCUGCUGAGUUCGCAGAAUUCCCUGAUCAGGAAGCUAAAGGAAGAGUGCUGCGCGCUGGGAGUCAAACUGGAAGAGCUGACAGGAAACAGCAGAAGUGAGAUGGAGCAGCUGGCUCUGGAGAAGCAACACCUAGAGGAGACAGUGAAGAGUCUGAGAGCUCGCUGCACCGACAUGGAGGAACAGUGUGUCCAGCACGGCCGCAUGCACCAGCGCAUGAAGGACAGCGGGGCUCUUUCUGUGUGUGUGUUAGUGUGUGACGUGGCGGUGGCCUGCUGUGUCGUGCUGUGUGAUGGCGUAGGAGGGAGCGUGGGAGGAGGAAGAGAUGGGGUGGCUGGUCAGGACAGCUUGGCAGCCGGCUGCAGGAACACCAGGCGGGGAGGGGAGUCUUCGCCCGCAGGAUCCAGGACUGGACAGAGCCUCCAGACUGCAGCAGUUGGACCGUCACUGUCAGAGCAGCGCCCAGCAGGUGUGUGAGCUGCUGGCCAAACAGAACCAGCUGAUGCAGGAGAGAAACACACUCACCGAGGAGAUGCAGAACCUACACAUAGAGCUCCCGAACACGAGACGAGUCGACGCUCUGCCCUCAUGAGUCGGUCCUGGCUGUUUGGAUCUGGAUCUUCUCGCUCCUGUUGAUCAGAACAUAUAAGACUGUUAUAUAUGUUUACUCAGGAUGAUGUGCAGGGAGACAGGUGUGUUCUCUUUUCUAUUAUGGUGCUACUCACAAUUGUUUGUAGAGUCGGAUGAGUCUGACUGAAUGUUGGUAUUGGGAGCUGAUACUGAUGUAAUUCAGUUACCAGAUAUUGGACUGAUGUCACCGAUCCAUGUCCAGAAUCCAAAGUUAAAACUUCUGCACACCAAGUCCAUUUUUAUUUCGUCCAAAGUUGCGGCAUGUUGAAAAGUAAAUACGACUUCAUGUUGUGUCAAUAAUGUUUACUCAGAGUUUUUCGGAUCCUUUUCCUGAUGUGUGUGUGGUGUGCAUGUGUGUUUCUGGCUUAGACGUUCUGCCAGCUGCUGUUCAGGAUCAAUUGAAAUUGAUGGUCUUCUUUUUUAAUGUGUGGUUUCAAAGAUACAGAACAGAGAAUCAGACAUGACCACCUCAGAUAUCACCUGGAAGCAACCGGGAUAACUCAGCAGCUCCUUCAUCAGCAGAUGAAAUUCUUCUUGCUCUUUUUUUGAGGAUUGGAUGGACUGAGUAUUUUCUUAUUCUUUGUUCAAGAAGAGAAAAUACCACAGAAUCAUCUAUUUUGUCUCAUAUGGUGAAUUUUACGCAUCGGAUCAGAUGGCGGAUUUAAAAAAAGGCCUUUACUCAUGUAUAGAAGUCAACUUACUUAAAGUUGAUAAAGGACUGCAAGUUUUUUUAUACAUUACUGUAAAUUUUAUGCCUUUUUUUGGUAAGUUUUUCCUUUUUUAAAGAAGGACUGUUUACUACAGCUCUGUCUAACCUAAUACAUGAAACCAUUAAUAAUAUUAAUUAUAAUAUUUCAUCAAGAAGAGCUCUGGUAUCUGCAGAUAUGUUACUUCAGGUAUCAGAAUCGAACUGGAACAUAAAUAAAGUGGAUCAGUGCAUCUCUAAUGUUUUGUUACGAGAUCUGAAAAUAAGGUCACAGUUUUAUAUUUUACAUUUGGCAAUAGACUGUUACUGUUACUAGUAAUACUAGGACGUUGUGUGUUUCUCUAAGAUAUAAGUUAAAUCACUGAUGCACUACUGUGAGCUUUCAGAAAGCCUUAAAACAGACAGUGGCCCUCUAACAACCUCAUUCAGGCCCUUUCAUGCCAAGUACAGAAAUAUUGUUAUUUCAACAGUUUUAACUUUUAACGUUAUGCAGAAUGGUUUUCUGAGAAUCGAAAGGUCAACAUACUUACAAUAAAGAUGCAUUGUUAUUUUUACUUGCACUUUUGUAUGUAUGAUUGUUUUUCAGAUGUGAAACCUAAUAAAGAAAGCAGAAAAAAAAAGUGCAUUGUUUUUACACAUUUAAAUUCCUGGAUUUACAGGUCAGACAUCUUCUUGUUCAUUAGCCCUGAAGUAGUGUAUGAUUAAACAUUUUCUACAUUUCCUUUUUUUUUUCUUCUACUCAAAACAAAUAUUUUUUUCACAUUUCUGACAAAAAAGGAUAUUUCUGUUUUUCAAUCUCUUAUUUGAAACACUUCAAUAGUAUUUUUCCGCUACAAACCAAACAAGUGGACACCAUGGCAGCAGAUUGACAUAGUGCUUUAUUGAAGCUGUCUGUAAGAAGGAAAAUAAUGUGCAUCCCUAUCAUAUACAUUUUAUGUGUAAAAAUACUAAGGAUGUACAGUGUAAAAAACAGCUUCAUGUUGAUGGUAAUUUGUUGUUUUCACAUCCUCGCGGCCUCACUGGCCAGCAGCACUGCAUCCUAACAGCAUGAGGGACAGAAAAAGGCUGUUUGAUCGAUCUGCUGAGUUUCCCCCGCACCGUCUCUGAGUCGACACCGUCUCAGAGUCGACUUCGGUACGACAGUGCUUCAGGGGAAACAUGGCCCGCUCUGCGAACAGCUGGCGGCUGUCCAGAAACGUCUCACAAAACUGUAAAGCUACAGUAGAUGGACAUGGACGUGAAAUUAAAACUCAGUUACACUUUUGUAAUAUUUUUACAUGUUUGCCGUUUUUUGUUUGCUGUUUAUAAAUAAAUGCAUCUCAUGCUUGUUCAUGUUAAUAAUCAUGACGAUAGACUAGUACCAGAGAGAGAAGAGAGGGGAGGAAUUCUGUCGCAGACAGGAGGUCAAAUACUUUCAGAAAUCCUUCCAAAGGAGCCGUUUACUUGUUAUCUGCAUUAAACGCCAGCCUGAGCGUGGCUUGUGAUUUUUGGCUUAUGCCGUCCGUUCAUUUACAAAACGGGGGCGAGAUCAAUACAGAGCAGCUGAGGUCUUUGAAAGGAUUUUUACAUAUUAUUCAAAUACUAUUGGAGUCAGAUCUGUUGUGUGAUAGAUGUACAGUACAAACAGCAGCAGCUUUAGGAGCGAACACUGUCGGUGCAGCGUCAGACAACUCACACACACGAGUGGAGCUGUGAGGAGGCUGGAACUGAACUUCAGCGUCCAGUUUAACCUCUGUUUGGUGAAGAAGUUGAGUUACUGACACGUUCUCCCCGACUGACUCGUGGUCUCUGAGGGAAAACCCAUAUUGAUGAGGAAUACUAAGCUCCAUCGUCUCCACUUAUGGAAGUUGGAGGAAUUUUUUUUUUUUUAUUGAUCUCUGACCGUUAGAAUCGGCCAGUAAAUUAACUUGAAUCUGUAGUUAGGAGUUAGGAAAAACUUUUCAAAACAGAGGAGGAUAAAGAGUUGAGAGAUAAAUCGACUGCCCAGUGUCAGUCUUCAUUUUAGUUUAUGAAGACUGACCAGUCGACUGAAAACAUCCACCGAGCGUCACUCUGCAGCGGCGGCUCAGACUCGUCUCUGGCAUGUGGUACACAAUCACCCAGGUGUCGCCAGCUCAUCAGAGCAACAUGAAAGCUAUCGGUUGUAUAUGGAGGGGAGAUGUGCUUUAAAGAUCCUCAUUUUCUUACAAACAUAAAAAAAGCUAAAAAUCUUCCUUUAAAGCAAGGCUGAAUCAGAUUCCUCUGAAUCAUAUAAAAAGUGAUGGAUGUGAAAGUGCUAUGGCCAAAGCUACAAAGCGGUAUUUUAUGAACUCUGGUUUCUAAUGAUUUUGGCGGUAAGCGUGCACAUACAGCUAGAACUCCUCAGCCACUCGCAGACCUGGGUCAAAUCAAAAGCUGAAAUCCUUCCAAAUACUUGGGAGCGUUUGCUUGAGCCUGUCGAGGGUGCCAGCUGGGUGGGAUUCGGCUGCUUCAGCUGUGCCAGACAGGCUCAAUCGAUCACAGAGAAGUAUUUUUCAUAAGAGUUCUGAGUGCCACUUUGACUCAGGACUGGUAGUACGGACAGAGGAGGACUACAGCAUGCAGGCCAGCGCCAUCCUUUUAUACUUUCUGCCAUAAAGCGCCUUUGCUAGCUAACAGCAAUUUAAUGGAUGUGCAAGAGUAAAGCAUAUGGACUUCAGAGCAGCAGAAAAAACAGGUAAUGUGUCGUAUAAGAGAUAAUCUGUAAAAGAAAAAAAAAAAGGAGGCAUUUAUUUUUAGAACAAAGUCUGAAGACUUAAACUGCAGAGUGAAACACGACUACACCCCCUUACUGCUAAACUCCAAAAAAAAAAAAAAAAAAGACAUCAAAUAAAUUAAAUAGAAAAGAAAUUCAAGUUAUCCAUCGAUAAUAAAACAUUCAAAUAAAUAUACUGGAGUACAGUUUUCUUUACGCCUACUGAGAGCACAUCCCCUGGUGCUCUCGUUUAAAGUUAUCGAAGGUGACGUCUUCCAUGUGAUUUUUCUUUUUCAGAUGAAGUAUCAAAUUUUAAAAAAUAUAUUUCCUCACAUCUCAUGAUUCUUUUUUUUUUCUCUUUUUUUCCCACUUAUUCUGAGCUAAACCAUAAGGCUUACUGGAGUUUUGAAGACCGAGAAAUUGA